rnacentral:lncRNA from 1 species
ACACAGUGUUCAUCCAAAUCAAUUGGAAAUUGAUGAUCCAAAAAGCAGGAAGCAUUACAAACAACGCCAAUUUAUAAUUUUUUAUUAAUCAACCCCUGCUCUUGACGGGAAGGUGCCUCUGCCACCCAGUGCAACUCAAAUUUCGACAUCCCUUUCAUUUCUCUUUUUGCUUUUUCUCCACCGAAACUCCGUCUUCUUUACAGUGUAAAAAAAAGAUCAGUAAGAAAAUCCAGGAAACUUACCAGUACGAGUUCUUGACCUAAAGUAAUCGGAAAAAAUUCGAAGUCAUUGGAAUAAAAAGAAAGAAAAGGGCUUUGGAAGUUGGUUACUAACAUACCAGAAGAAGAAAAACUAUUGGGCUUGGCUGGAUCUUGUGCCUCUUUAGCCAACACUUACCACUCGGUUUGUUACGUCUAGAUUCGUGAAAUACUCGUAGAAAUUUGGUGUUUUCUGAUUUCUAAGUAGAAUUGUACUUGUUCCAGCUUGAAAUUGCUAUUUGGUAGAUUUAAUUGCCGAAUUUCUUGAUCUUACCUUCUGUUUCAUGUUUGACCACAGGAGCAGGCCUUGUACAAAAUAGCGUGGAAAGCAAUUGCUGAACCAAGCUAGCUUAGUUGGGGCUAGAAGGGAUCGGUACUAAUUUAUUGCUUUAGGGAUUUUCAUGGCUUCCACCAGCGUGCAAGGAAUGACCUCAUCUUCAUCUUCUUCUCCUCCACUAUAUAUGUAUGAUGUGUUCCUUAGUUUUAGAGACAAAGACACCCGGAACAACUUUACUAGUCAUCUAUAUUCUAAUCUGAAACAGAGAGGCGUCGAUGUAUAUAUGGAUGAUAGGGAGCUCGAGAGAGGAAAGACCAUCGAACCUGCUCUCUGGAAGGCCAUCGAAGAAUCAAGGUUUUCUGUCAUUAUAUUUUCAAGAGAUUACGCUUCCUCACCAUGGUGCUUGGAUGAACUUGUCAAGAUUGCUCAGUGCAUGAAAGAGAUGGGGCACACUGUUCUGCC